rnacentral:rRNA from 1 species
UACGUAGGGUGCGAGCGUUGUCCGGAAUUAUUGGGCGUAAAGGGCUCGUAGGCGGUUUGUCGCGUCGGGAGUGAAAUCCACUGGCUUAACUGGUGGCUUGCUUUCGAUACGGGCAGACUGGAGGUAUGCAGGGGAGAACGGAAUUCCUGGUGUAGCGGUGAAAUGCGCAGAUAUCAGGAGGAACACCGGUGGCGAAGGCAGGUCUCUGGGCCACUACUGACGCUGAGGCGCGAAAGCUAGGGGAGCAAACAGG